CACGUAGGGCGCAAGCGUGUCCGGAAUUAUUGGGCGUAAAGAGCUCGUAGGCGGUCUGUUACGUCUGCUGUGAAAACCCUGGGCUUAACCCUGGGCUUGCAGUGGAUACGGGCAGACUAGAGGCAGGUAGGGGAGAAUGGAAUUCCCGGUGUAGCGGUGAAAUGCGCAGAUAUCGGGAAGAACACCCGUGGCGAAGGCGGCUCUCUGGGACGGUACUGACGCUGAGACGCGAAAGCGUGGGGAGCGAACAGG
rnacentral:rRNA from 1 species